rnacentral:lncRNA from 1 species
CAUUCUCUUUCUUCAAUCGUUCCAGCUCACCACUCAUGUUAGAGUUCAUAACUUUCAUCGAUUUUAACUCUGAAAUUUUUUCAAAUUAUGUUUAGUUUUUAAGGGCCAAAACACAAGAUGCAACCAAAGCUAUAUUUCAAUGAUAUAUUGUACAAGAAACCAAGACAAAAAAGAAGCUCAAGUAUUAGAACAACAAGCAUGACUUAUGAAGAGUCAGACACUAAUACACCCUAAUUUUCCACGUAAAGAAAAAUAUUUAAAUAUCCAACGAGUUUUCAUCACAUUUAUGGUUCGCCAUCUGCAAAAAAAUGAUACAAAAUUAAAAGCUCCUAAAUGAAAAAACUACGUAGCUUCUUUUUCUUUCUUUCUAUCUUUCCUUG